CCAAGGCUAAAUACUCCUGACUGACCGAUAGUGAACCAGUACCGUGAGGGAAAGGCGAAAAGAACCCCGGCGAGGGGAGUGAAAAAGAACCUGAAACCGUGUACGUACAAGCAGUGGGAGCACCCUUCGGGGUGUGACUGCGUACCUUUUGUAUAAUGGGUCAGCGACUUAUAUUCUGUAGCAAGGUUAACCGUAUAGGGGAGCCGAAGGGAAACCGAGUCUUAACCGGGCGUUAAGUUGCAGGGUAUAGACCCGAAACCCGGUGAUCUAGCCAUGGGCAGGUUGAAGGUUGGGUAACACUAACUGGAGGACCGAACCGACUAAUGUUGAAAAA
rnacentral:rRNA from 1 species